rnacentral:rRNA from 1 species
AGCGAACGCUGGCGGCAGGCCUAACACAUGCAAGUCGAACGAACCUUUCGGGGUUAGUGGCGGACGGGUGAGUAACACGUGGGAACGUGCCUUUAGGUUCGGAAUAACUCAGGGAAACUUGUGCUAAUACCGAAUGUGCCCUUCGGGGGAAAGAUUUAUCGCCUUUAGAGCGGCCCGCGUCUGAUUAGCUAGUUGGUUGAGGUAAUGGCUCACCAAGGCGACGAUCAGUAGCUGGUCUGAGAGGAUGAUCAGCCACAUUGGGACUGAGACACGGCCCAAACUCCUACGGGAGGCAGCAGUGGGGAAUCUUGCGCAAUGGGCGAAAGCCUGACGCAGCCAUGCCACGUGAAUGAUGAAGGUCUUAGGAUUGUAAAAUUCUUUCACCGGGGACGAUAAUGACGGUACCCGGAGAAGAAGCCCCGGCUAACUUCGUG